rnacentral:lncRNA from 1 species
CUCUUCUCAUGUCUCCGGGUCGACCUGCUGAACUUUGCUGAAUCUGGUGCCUAAUAUAGGGGAAAUCUUACAGAUCUGGGGGCUCGUCCGGGAUACAUCUGAUCAGAUUUUGGGGGCCCCCUCAGCACAGACGACACCUCUACAGCUGCAAUUCACCUCUACAGCUGCACAAUUGCGUUUGGGAGACAGAUGGGAGCUAAACACGUAGCACUGUAGCACUGUCUACCUUAAGGCAAGGGUCAGCAUGACUUCCUUUUUGCUGCGGACAAUUGGACUGUUUCUCUUUCUUGUGACUCAAGCUAAUGCUGGACACAUGAUCAUGAAUUCGGAUGGGCAGAGGAUGGGGCUGACAAUCCUAUUGGAACUAAUAUGUGGUAUCAAUAUGUGAAAGUUUUAACGCGUUCUUAUAAUGUAUCUGGAUGUUAUGUAUGUUCUGUUAUGCCUCAUUCAGCCAAACAAACCCCUCUUUAUGCCAAACCCAUGAAUAAGACCUCUGCUAAAUGUUCUGCCAGUUUUGCAGGAUCAGGGUACCAGAAUCCAUAUAUAAUUGUCGAUGACUACGAUCCAUACCGGAUUGGCAUUAGAAAUGGUACAUGUGAUGCUCUAUUUUGGGUAAAAUUUGGCCACGCUAAACCCUCACCUAUUAGCCACAAGGUUUUUUAUUAACCACUCUAUUACACACCCUGUGUGUUAUAACCAGACCAUGGGCUCUCAUUUCAUGGGAAGCACUGUUAACUGUCAACAAAUUGCCUCCUCGGGAGAGGGGGCCCCAGUCGACAUCUCAGGACCCUCAAACGGCACUUAUGUGGUCCAGGGUGGGUGGUGGUUGUGUGGGAAAAACGCCUACAUGUCCCUACCGGCCAACUGGACGG